GGCAGGAUGAGUGCAGACUUGGACCCAGUGGUCCUUGUCUCGGCAGCGCGCACCAUCAUAGGCUCUUUCAAUGGUGCCUUACCCACUGUUCCUGUCCAUGACCUGGGCUCAACUGUUAGAGAGGUCCUGAAAAGGGUGCUGUGGCUCCCAAAGAGGUCUCAGAGGUCAUAUUUAGACACUUUUUGGCAGUAGGCUGUGGGCAGAACCCUGUUGGACAGGCCAGUGUGGGUGCGGGAAUCCCCUACUUUGUUCCAGCGUGGAGCUGCCAAAUGAUCUGCAGGUCAGGUCUGAAAGCCGUGGGUCUCGCAGCCCAAUCGAUAAGGAUAGGAGACUCCAGCAUUGUUGCAGGAGGCAUGGAAAAAUAUGAGCAAGGCUCCUCAUUUGGUUCACUUGAGGAUGGGAGUCAAGACUGGGGAAAAACCACUGACAGACAGUAUACUCUGUGACGGGCUCACUGACGUAUUCCACGACUAUCAUAUGGGCAUUACAGCUGAAAAUGUGGCCAAACAGUGGCAAGUGGGUAGAGAAGACAGGCCAAGGUUGCCGUGCUGUCCCAGAACAGGACGGAGAAUGCACAGAAGGCCGGCCAUUUUGACAAAGAGAUUGUUCCAGUUUUUGUAUCUUCUAAAAAACGAGGUCUUACGGAAGUUAAAACAGAUGAGUUUCCUCACCAUGGGAGCAACAUGGAAGCCAUGUCUAAGCUAAAGCCUUGCUUCCUUAUGGAUGGAACGGGAACAGUCACACCAGCUAAUGCUUCAGGAAUGAAUGAUGGUGCUGCAGCAGUGGUUCUUAUGAAGACGUCUGAAGCUGGCAACUGUAGGCUCACACCGUUAGCACAGAUAGUUUCCUGGGCACAAGCAGAUGUGGAGCCUUCCAUUAUGGGAAUAGGACCAAUUCCAGCAAUAAAGCAAGCUGUUGCAAAAGCAGGGUGGUCACUGGAGGAUGUUGAUGUAUUUGAAAUCAAUGAAGCCUUUGCAGCCCUGUCUGUUGCAAUAGCUAAAGAACUUGGUUUAAACCCAGAGCAGGUCAACACUGAAGGAGGAGCCAUAGCCCUGGGCCAUCCUCUUGGAGCAUCUGUCUGUAGUAUUCUUGUCACCCUGUUACACACACUGGAGCACAAGGGUGGACAUUGUGGUGUUGCUGCC
rnacentral:lncRNA from 1 species